UACGAAGGGGGCGAGCGUUGUUCGGAAUCACUGGGCGUAAAGAGUGCGUAGGCGGUUAUGAAAGUUAGAAGUGAAAGCCCCAGGCUCAACUUGGGAAUUGCUUUUAAAACUACAUGACUUGAAUUCGGGAGAGGAUAGCGGAAUUGUCAGUGUAGCAGUGAAAUGCGUAGAUAUUGACAGGAACACCAGUGGCGUAAGCGGCUAUCUGGACCGACAUUGACGCUGAGGCACGAAAGCGUGGGGAUCAAACAGG
rnacentral:rRNA from 1 species